rnacentral:rRNA from 1 species
GAUGAACGCUGACAGAAUGCUUAACACAUGCAAGUCAACUUGAACUUCGGUUUGGGUGGCGGACGGGUGAGUAACGCGUAAAGAACUUGCCUCACAGCUAGGGACAACAUUUGGAAACGAAUGCUAAUACCUGAUAUUAUGAUUUUAGGGCAUCCUAGAAUUAUGAAAGCUAUAUGCGCUGUGAGAGAGCUUUGCGUCCCAUUAGCUAGCUGGAGAGGUAACGGCUCACCAAGGCGAUGAUGGGUAGCCGGCCUGAGAGGGUGAACGGCCACAAGGGGACUGAGACACGGCCCUUACUCCUACGGGAGGCAGCAGUGGGGAAUAUUGGACAAUGGACCAAGAGUCUGAUCCAGCAAUUCUGUGUGCACGAUGAAGUUUUUCGGAAUGUAAAGUGCUUUCAGUUGGGAAGAAAAAAAUGACGGUACCAACAGAAGAAGUGACGGCUAAAUACGUG